rnacentral:rRNA from 1 species
UCAUGAAAGCCGGUUGUACCCGAAGUCACCACGUUAACUCUGCAAAGAGAGACAGGUGCCGAAGGUAUGGCUGGUGAUUGGGAUG